CCCGCCCGAUACAAAGGGGAUAGCCAGGAUAGCCUCCAGGAUCAUCAUCAUCAUCGUCGUUGGUUUUGACGACCAGUUUGCUUGUCGAUGACUGUGAGCUACACAACAUGCGCUCACUUCAGUUAAGGGCGGAUCCCACUAAAGUGUCGCUGAAGCAGCAACGUGAACGACAGGUCAGCCGCCAUGUUGGGAACAUCAGUUGCUGAUAUAUCGAGGAAGAAACGGUGUUCGCUCAAGCGGGGAAAUCGGUGAUCGAGUGAGCCAGUGGAAGCCAACGCCAACUACAUUCCACCAGACUAAGGGACUCAAGUGCCCGUAGAUGUGCCGCUUUGAAGCUCCUUAUUGUGUAAUAAGCGUUCUUUGUUUUGUAUCUGCUGUCUUUACUGUGUAACCACCCACCACAAGUAAAUAAAGAAAUAGAAUCGUACACUACCUGUAGAACCCAGGAAAAACCUGUCACAGUGUCCACAGGAUAACCACAGCCCCCCACAUGCCUCAAAUUACCCGAAAUGUAGCCUCGGGUUGUCCUGUAUACCGGUUCGAGCGGUAACAUUGAACAAACUAUGUUAGUACAAUUUCUGUCCGUGAGACAUCCAGAGGUUGUAUAUGGCUUCGCUGUCGCUAUAAGCUUUGUUUAGCUUCGUUGCCCAAAAUUUCAGCAGAAAUCUGCGGUAUUAUGCAACGUUGGCAAAAAUAUGAAACUAUCAACUUUGGUAUUUCAGUAUAUUCCCCGAUUAUUAUUGGCGCAUGCUACUGGAGACUUCAAGUUGGACGAGUUUACAUGUUUGGGGGAAGUUUUGGUUUCGGUACUGGGACAGGUUUGCAAUAAUAUCUACGAAGAUUGCAAGACCAAGUUAUAGGAACAGUCAGAAAGUAACUUUAUAGUAGGCAAAAAUCAGAUUUAAAUUUUUUGUAAGGUUGGUUAGUGUUAACAAAAGCUCAUUUGGAAUUGUUAUAUUUGUAUUUUGUGUGUUCCUGCUCCCGCAAUGAAUGAUGCAUUUGUUUGAACCAAUGCAUCCCCUAUCAGACUCUCAGGUUAUGUAGCUCAUCUAGUUGUUGGGAAACUGGAUGCAGAUGGAAGCUGCAAAGACUUCGGGGUCUGUCACACUGGCGCGGCACGACAUACAACAGCUUGUGACAAGUCGAAAGCAGUCGUGUCGUGCAGAGUCUUUGUCCAAGGAUGUCACCAUCAUACUGACGCGACACCACUGCGACAUGACAACAAGACCGGUGUCGUACGGAUAGUUUUGUCAGUGGGACUGCAGACUUGAUUCGACAGUCGGAUGAAUCGAGUCAUACGACCGUGUCGUGCUACGUUCAACCUCUGCUCAAACAUCUGCAGUAAAUAGUGCAUUCUGAGAUAGGAAUGAACCGGAGGCAAGACACAGGGUGCAUAAUAAACUGAUUUACUCGAAUAUAACAAUUGCAAAAUGUACGAGAUGUUUAAAGUAGCACAGAAGUCAUUUUUAACACUUUGUUUGGUCCCUUCCCAGGCAGAAAAACUAACAUCAAGUAUUAUCUAUUUCAUGUAACGCUGUAGUUCCUCAACUGCUAUGACUUAAUUAUGUCAUUGUUAUGCUCCAUGUACAUUAGAAUAUGUUUAAUGUUUGACUACAAAUAAAAUGCAUUUUUGCGUUGCA